GACGUAGGGCGCGAGCGUUGUCCGGAUUUAUUGGGCGUAAAGAGCGUGUAGGCGGCCUUACAGGUCAGCUGUGAAAACUCGAGGCUCAACCUCGAGACGUCGGUUGAAACCGUAAGGUUAGAGUCCGGAAGAGGAGAGUGGAAUUCCCGGUGUAGCGGUGAAAUGCGCAGAUAUCGGGAGGAACACCAAUGGCGAAGGCAGCUCGCUGGGACGGUACUGACGCUGAGACGCGAAAGCGUGGGGAGCAAACAGGG
rnacentral:rRNA from 1 species